UAGCAGGAUAUCUACUGUGCAGCUUGUGUGGUGCUGCAUUGUCGUUCCCCCUGCUGAAAGUAACAUGUUUCCAAGCUAUCCCUGCCUGUCUAGAUCCCCGACAGUUAGGGACGCAAGGUCUCAGACAC
rnacentral:snoRNA from 1 species